UACGGAGGGUGCAAGCGUUGUCCGGAAUCACUGGGCGUAAAGGGCGCGUAGGCGGCUCAUGAAGGCUGUGGUGAAAGUCCGGGGCUCAACCUCGGAUCGGCCGUGGCGACUCGUGGGCUGGAGCACUGUAGAGGCGGGUGGAAUUCCGGGUGUAGCGGUGGAAUGCGUAGAGAUCCGGAAGAACACCAGUGGCGAAGGCGGCCCGCUGGGCAGUGGCGUGACGCUGAGGCGCGACAGCGUGGGGAGCAAACGAGGAUUG
rnacentral:rRNA from 1 species